rnacentral:rRNA from 1 species
GACGAACGCUGGCGGCGUGCUUAACACAUGCGAGUCGAACGGAAAGGCCCUGCUUUUGUGGGGUGCUCGAGUGGCGAACGGGUGAGUAACACGUGAGUAACCUGCCCUUGACUUUGGGAUAACUUCAGGAAACUGGGGCUAAUACCGGAUAGGAGCUCCUGCUGCAUGGUGGGGGUUGGAAAGUUUCGGCGGUUGGGGAUGGACUCGCGGCUUAUCAGCUUGUUGGUGGGGUAGUGGCUUACCAAGGCUUUGACGGGUAGCCGGCCUGGGAGGGUGACCGGCCACAUUGGGACUGCGGUACGGCCCAGACUCCUACGGGAGGCAGCAGUGGGGAAUAUUGCACAAUGGGCGGAAGCCUGAUGCAGCAACGCCGCGUGCGGGAUGACGGCCUUCGGGUUGUAAACCGCUUUCGCCUGUGACGAAGCGUGAGUGACGGUAAUGGGUAAAGAAGCACCGGCUAACUACGUG